GCGCCGCCGCCCUCCUUCCCUGCUGCUGCACUCUCCCCGACCGCCUCUGCUGCCGCGCGGCCGCCCUCUCUCCCUUGCUGCAGCACUGCCACCCUCCCUUCCCUGCUACUGCACCGCCGUCCGCCCGCCCCUGCUGCCGCGCCGCCGCCCUCCCUUGCUGCUGCUGCCCUCCCACGUGCCGUGCUCGCCCUGUUGCACGUCGGCCCGCCCCCACCCCUCUCCUGCGCCGGCGGCCUUCUGCUGCACCGCCGCCCUCUCCUGGAAUCGCGCCGCCGCCGCUGUGACUAAGAUCUGCAGCACCGCCGGCCCCUAGUGGCGCCCUUGCCGUCCCCUACCUGGAGCAGCUCCGCACGGCCUCCGUGAACCCCCUAUGCGGCGCCCCUAAGCCAAGGUGAGCCACUGCCCAUUUUUCCCCUCCGAUUGGAGAACGACCAGCCCUGACUAGUAGUUGAUACAUGGAUGGAUGGAAUGCUGCAGAUUAGUGGUAUGUGCAUAGGAAUUAGUUGGUACUACACUUUUUUCGAUUAAUAAACCUUGUAUUUUAGAUGGAAAAAUCAGGAAAGGUUGUGGCAAAAUGGAGAUGGUGGUGGUACUGGAGAUGAUGUCGAUAUGAAUGCAUUUCGAGAUGCAAUCGCUACCGCUAUGGUUUCGUGAUCUAGUUGUAUUCAUCAUUUAUGUACUCGUAGUUUAGAAAUUGGCGCUGCUACACCUAGUGGUCUAUUUGUGAUAUUAAUCUAUUUGAUCUAUUAUGUAGUCAAGAUACUAAAAAAAUAUAAGAAUUAUUGAAUUUGCUCGUAUUCAGAAAAAAAUGAGAUA